GGGAAAAGGAAGUUGCCGGAACACUAAAUCAUCCUUCACAUCCUGCAAACGUCCCAUCCCCUCUCUCUGGUUUGCCUGAGUUCUCUCACCUAGGUUGGGGCCAUUGGUUUACUCUGAGGGACCUUGAAACUGCAACCAACAAGUUUGCUAAGGAUAACAUCAUUGGAGAGGGUGGUUAUGGCAUUGUUUACCGUGGACAGCUGAUUAACGGAACUGAAGUCGCUGUUAAAAAGCUAUUGAAUAAUUUAGGACAAGCAGAGAAAGAAUUUCAAGUGGAAGUUGAGGCCAUCGGUCAUGUCCGACAUAAGAAUUUGGUUAGACUUUUGGGCUACUGUAUUGAAGGAACUCACAGGUUACUAGUUUAUGAGUGCGUAAACAAUGGGAAUUUAGAGCAGUGGCUACAUGGAGCUAUGCAACAGCACGGAUACCUUACAUGGGAAGCACGGAUGAAGAUUCUCCUUGGCACUGCUAAAGCUCUUGCAUAUUUACAUGAGGCAAUUGAGCCCAAGGUGGUGCAUCGUGACAUCAAGUCAAGCAACAUAUUGAUAGAUGAAGACUUCAAUGCAAAAAUUUCUGAUUUUGGCCUGGCCAAGUUGCUAGGUGCAGGGAAGAGUCACAUUACAACCAGAGUUAUGGGCACGUUCGGAUAUGUAGCUCCUGAGUAUGCAAAUAGUGGUCUACUGAAUGAAAAGAGUGAUGUGUACAGCUAUGGUGUUGUGCUUCUGGAAGCCAUCACUGGAAGAGAUCCCGUGGAUUAUGGUCGCCCUGCUCCCGAGGUGAAUCUUGUUGACUGGCUCAAGAUGAUGGUUGGCAGCAAACGCUCGGAAGAAGUAGUCGAUCCAACAAUCGAAACAAG
rnacentral:misc_RNA from 1 species